AUUGAACGCUGGCGGCAUGCUUUACACAUGCAAGUCGAACGGCAGCGCGGGCUUCGGCCUGGCGGCGAGUGGCGAACGGGUGAGUAAUGCAUCGGAACGUGCCCAGUAGUGGGGGAUAGCCCGGCGAAAGCCGGAUUAAUACCGCAUACGACCUGAGGGUGAAAGCGGGGGACCGAAAGGCCUCGCGCUAUUGGAGCGGCCGAUGUCGGAUUAGCUAGUUGGUGGGGUAAAGGCUUACCAAGGCGACGAUCCGUAGCUGGUCUGAGAGGACGACCAGCCACACUGGGACUGAGACACGGCCCAGACUCCUACGGGAGGCAGCAGUGGGGAAUUUUGGACAAUGGGGGCAACCCUGAUCCAGCCAUGCCGCGUGCGGGAAGAAGGCCUUCGGGUUGUAAACCGCUUUUGUUCAGGAAGAAAUCCUCUGGGCUAAUACCCCGGGGGGAUGACGGUACCGGAAGAAUAAGCACCGGCUAACUACGUG
rnacentral:rRNA from 1 species